UCAACGUGGACAAGUUGGACUGAAGGAUGUGUUUCCUCACUGUACAUCUCUAUGACUCUUGUAACAUUUAGUGUGAUCUUAUUAUUUACAUCUUUGCUGGUUAACUUCUGAAGUUUUCUGAAGUUCUUUUUUGUCAAUUAAAUUUUUUUUCUUGGUCCCAAGCUUGACACUUCAAGACUCUGGAUAACCUGCAGCAUGAUUAGAUAAGGCCAAAGCACUUAUCCCUGCUCAGCAAGAUCCUUGGGUGGACAUCCUAUCCCUAUUUAAUUAUUUAUAUCUUUCCACUAUUCUGUUUGAAAGAUAUGAAAGACCAAUGCUACUUGUUGUUUGAUCUUUCCUGCAAAUGUAUACACCAUUUCCUGAUAAUCGAAGCAAACAUCAAUCCAUUCAUUCUAGUACUAGGCUUCUUAAAUGUAUACCUCUUACUUCCCAUAUCGAUCAUUAUCUGUAUUACAGCCAGAUAAGUAAAAUCCAAGAUAAAGAAAAUAUGCACUUGUGUAUAUUAUCAGUUCUGUUGUUGCUAAUUUCUGGUGGACAUUACAGGAACACCUGCAGAACUUCAUCAUGAAUGUGAAUUUGCUGCCUUGAUCUUGCCUAUCGUUAGACUGUUCUUACUGCUAUUCAUCAUUAGCCUUUUUCAUAUUCUUAAUAAUAUUAUUUAUAAAGAUUUUUUUGCUUAUUAGAUAAUUUUCUUAGCCACUUGGGAUUCUACAAAGACGUUGGAGUAAGAUUCAGUAUCACAGUUAUUCGUCUAUAAAGUGUGAAAUCAUACCAAGUCAUUUCAAUGCUUCCACAGAAAAGAAAAUUCUCAAGGAACAGUUACUGGAAUGAGACAAUUUUGAAUUCCAGAUUGGUGUUCCAUGAUGUGAAACUCUGGCAAAAAUGACAAAUAAUAAAUAAUUUCAAACGACUUGUUCUUUAGUUGACUGCUGAGUGAAUUCUUGUUCCUAAGAAGAGAUGUUUGACACAAAGCUGAGAGGUCUUUUGGUGGAAAGUUUGUUUACCUUCUUCAGGACUAAGGACCAGGAGACUUCAUUAUCUACUGGGUGGUUCCAAGACUUUCUGCCUGGUGGAUUUAAGAAGCUCCUUGUUUUCAAAUGCAGCAGAAUAUGCAUAUGAAAGUUAGUUUUGCUGUACUGCACUUUUCAAUAAAGAAGUCAACCUCAA